CCAGACUCCUACGGGAGGCAGCAGUGGGGGAUAUUGGGCAAUGGGCGCAAGCCUGACCCAGCAACGCCGCGUGAAGGAUGAAGGUUUUCGGAUUGUAAACUUCUGUCGCGAGGGACGAAGAAUGACGGUACCUCGUAAGAAAGCCCCGGCUAACUACGUGCCAGCAGCCGCGGUAAUACGGAAGGUCCGGGCGUUAUCCGGAUUUAUUGGGUUUAAAGGGAGCGUAGGCCGGCUUUUAAGUCAGCUGUGAAAGUCCGCGGCUCAACCGUGGAAUUGCAGUUGAAACUGGAGGCCUUGAGUGCACACAGGGAUGCCGGAAUUCAUGGUGUAGCGGUGAAAUGCUUAGAUAUCAUGAGGAACUCCGAUCGCGAAGGCAAGUGUCCGGGGUGCAACUGACGCUGAGGCUCGAAAGUGCGGGUAUCAAACAGGAUUAGAUACCCCGGUA
rnacentral:rRNA from 1 species